UUAUAAUUAUUUUUUUUCAGUUGGGAAAAUAAUGGUUUCAAUUGCUGUUUAAUUAGCCUCAAAUCUUCGUUUGGUGAUAAGCCCUAAUAAUCUACAAAUUUGUUGUCAGAAUUACUGUAAAUAAUAACUACAAAAAAUAACCAAAAAUACUGAAGUAAUAAUACAAUAAUUAUCUUUGUUUCAGUUAAAAACAAGAGAACGUAAAACAAUUUAUAGCCUCGUGGCGAUGGAAAAACAAACCUUGACAGGAGUGAAGACACGAUGAUUUCUUAAUCCUCCCGAUGGUUGAAAUUUGCGUUGGUGUCUGGACGUUCGGCUGGCUGGAUGUGACACAGCCGAAUUUUGAAAAACAUCAGCUAUGCCGACAUCUUGCCUUCGAGGCGCCCAGUUAAUAUUGUGGAUACAUUCUUCUCAUUGAAUACAAAGAUUUAAACAGAACACUCAGUCACAGAACACUAUAAUAUCUAAGGAAUUUGAUUGUGUGAUCUUGAUUUUAUCCCUCCUGGAUAGUCCAUGAAGAGGAUGAGCAGUAGAAAGUACAGUCGACGCGUUAUUCGAAAGAGACACCUGCACGAGGCUGGAGACUCGCCAAAUAACUGAUAGCGUGGGCGUCGCGACUUCGAAGACGACGUCGAACGACCAAAGUCGAGAGGGGGUGAAGCUUCCCCGUUCUUCUUGUUCCAUUGGUCAGGAACCGAUUGUGCGAUUCGUGUCUUCCUCCUCUCCGUCUUCUGUUCUUACCGAUCGUCCCUAUCGCUGGAGGCAAGCUGCGAAUUGUUGCACCGGUAGAGUCGUCAUCAGUUGCUCUGAUUUGGAGAGGAAGAUUCAUGAUAUCAUGAUACCAUGAUGAUGAAAACCUACGAUGAGAUUUAAGAUUCACUUGUGACAGAUAAACUAUUAAUGCACUCAAAGAAAGUAAGAAAUUACAAUUUCUACAAAUUAGAAUUAAUACGAAUUUUAGCGGGUGGUUUUAUGAUGACGAGACGCAAUGUAUAUUCAGUAUUAAUAAGAUUUUUAUUAAUGGA